rfam:Triticum aestivum genome assembly, contig: Triticum_aestivum_CS42_TGACv1_scaffold_622911_7DS
GAACUACUCCUUCCGUUUCAAAUUACUUGUCGUAAGUAUAGAUGUAUCUAGAUGUAUUUUAGUUCUAGAUACAUCCAUUUCUGCGACGAGUAAUUUAGAACGAAGGGAGUAGAAG